rnacentral:rRNA from 1 species
CCUACGGGUGGCAGCAGUGGGGAAUUUUGCGCAAUGCUCGUAAGAGUGACGCAGCGACGCCGCGUGAAUGACGAAGGCCUUCGGGUCGUAAAGUUCUUUCGACAGGGAAGAAAAUGCCUAUAAGUAACUGUGUAUGUAUUGACGGUACCUGUAUAAGCAGCACCGGCUAACUACGUGCCAGCAGCCGCGGUAAUACGGAGGGGGCGAGCGUUGUUCGGAGUGACUGGGCGUAAAGAGCACGUAGGCGGUGUUGUAAGUCAUUAGUCAAAGACUAGAGCUCAACUUUAGUAAGGCUAGUGAUACUAUAAUACGAGAGUAUCAGAGAGGAUUGCAGAAUUCCUGGUGUAGCGGUGAAAGGCGUAGAUAUCAGGAGGAAUACCGUUAGCGAAGGCGGCAAUCUGGCUGGAAACUGACGCUGAGGUGCGAAAGCGUGGGUAGCAAACAGGAUUAGAUAUCCCAGUAGUC